rnacentral:rRNA from 1 species
GACGAACGCUGGCGGCGUGCUUAACACAUGCAAGUCGAACGGAAAGGCUCCAGCUUGCUGGAGUACUCGAGUGGCGAACGGGUGAGUAACACGUGGGUAAUCUGCCCUGCACUCUGGGAUAAGCCUGGGAAACUGGGUCUAAUACUGGAUAUGACCUUUCUCCUUAUGGGGUUUGGUGGAAAGUUUUUCGGUGUAGGAUGAGCCCGCGGCCUAUCAGCUUGUUGGUGGGGUGAUGGCCUACCAAGGCGACGACGGGUAGCCGGCCUGAGAGGGUGAUCGGCCACAUUGGGACUGAGAUACGGCCCAGACUCCUACGGGAGGCAGCAGUGGGGAAUAUUGCACAAUGGGCGGAAGCCUGAUGCAGCGACGCCGCGUGAGGGAAGACGGCCUUCGGGUUGUAAACCUCUUUCAGCAGGGACGAAGCGUAAGUGACGGUACCUGCAGAAGAAGCACCGGCUAACUAUGUG